rfam:Zea mays cultivar B73 chromosome 4, whole genome shotgun sequence.
UGAAAGCUAUGAUGAAUCUUGAAAAUUAUAUUCGCAUGUUAGAUUUCAGAGAUGUGGUGGCAUUAACGAGAAUUGUUUCAUCUAUGCAAUGAGCAUCG